AUCCUCGAUCUGCUGCGGGCAGAUGAAGUGAAUAUGAGCGUCGAACCCGCCCGCGGUCAGGAUUUUCCCUUCCCCGGCAAUGACUUCCGUGCCCGGCCCGAUGAUGAUGUCGACAUUCGGCUGGGUAUCCGGAUUCCCAGCCUUGCCGAUCGCCGCGAUCUGCCCAUCCUUCAGGCCGACAUCCGCUUUGUAGAUCCCCGAAUGAUCCACGAUCAGCGCAUUGGUGAUCACCGUAUCGACCGCGCCGCCCGCGCGGGAGACCUGGCUCUGCCCCAUGCCGUCGCGGAU
rfam:Thioclava sp. 25B10_4, complete genome.